UGGGGAAUAUUGCACAAUGGAGGAAACUCUGAUGCAGCGACGCCGCGUGAGGGAAGAAGGUCUUCGGAUUGUAAACCUCUGUCUUUGGGGACGAUAAUGACGGUACCCGAGGAGGAAGCCACGGCUAACUACGUGCCAGCAGCCGCGGUAAAACGUAGGUGGCAAGCGUUGUCCGGAAUUACUGGGUGUAAAGGGAGCGCAGGCGGAGCGGCAAGUUGGAAGUGAAAUACAUGGGCUCAACCCAUGAACUGCUUUCAAAACUGUCGGUCUUGAGUGGUGCAGAGGUAGGCGGAAUUCCCGGUGUAGCGGUGGAAUGCGUAGAUAUCGGGAGGAACACCAGUGGCGAAGGCGGCCUGCUGGGCACUAACUGACGCUGAGGCUCGAAAGUAUGGGGAGCAAACAGG
rnacentral:rRNA from 1 species